rnacentral:ncRNA from 2 species
UCAUAUUUAAAGGUAAUAGGUUUAAAAGCUAGAUUAGCUAGUUUUUGAUUAAAAGGGAAACAGGUUUAAUUCCUGUACGGUCCCGCCGCUGUAAUAGAGGAGUCCCUCUGAGAAUGCCACUGAACAAUUGGGAAGGCAAGAGGUGAUUAUGAUACUAGAGUCAGAAGACCUGCCUGUUGCUAUAGAGAUCA